GCUCCACCACCCCUCCAGGAGCUCCGCCACCCCCUCCACCAUCCCCAUGGCCCCCUCACCCGGCCGGUACUGAUCCGUCAGGUGGCUGCCGAAGUUGUAGACGAGGUCGAGGUGGCGCCGCUCCUGCAGGCGGUUGCCCACCUCGCGGAAGGCGUCCUGGGCCAUGCUCUCCAUCUGGCGCCGGGCGAGCCCCAGGCUGUGCCGGGCGCUGGCCUUCUGGAUCACCUUGAGGAUGUCGGUGUAGUCGGGGAAGGCCUCGGGGCGGUUGAUGAAGCGCUCGAUGCGCCGGUUGACCUCGGGGUAGCGGGUGCCGCGGUAGGCGAUGCGCUGCUCGAUGACGCGGCCGGUCAGGCUGCUGCACUGCUUGAGCUCGCAGAGGCGCUGGAAGAUGCGCAUCAUCUUGCGCUUCAGCCGGCUCUCCUGCAGGUAGCUCGAGUCCUCGCUGUCCAGCUCGGCCAGGUCCAGCUCCCGCUCCUGCAGACGCCGGAUCUCGCCCGUGUAGACCCGCAGCAGGUUCUCCAGGUAGCGGAUCUGACGCUUGGAGCCGGUGGGCGGCCGCGGGGUGUGGGCCUUGAGGACGGUGCAGAGCUCGUUGAUGUAGACGUAGACCUUGUUGCGACGCGCCCGCACGCGGGCCAGGCAGCGGGCCAGGACGUUGCGCAGCUCGGCCGAGGCCAAGAAGUCCGGGCUGGCCUUCUGGUGGCGGCCCGACAGGAAGGGGAUGACCUCGGGGUGCUCCUCCGUCAGUUGGGUGCAGAGCUCCAGGAACUGAGGGGAUGGAGAGGACGAGGUGGCGCGGGGAGGGCGAGGGGGGAUACGGGGACAUGGAGGCGCAAAGGGGGACGCGGGGACUCCGGGGAGACGUUGAGAUGACAAGGAGACAUGGGAUGGAGAGGUUGAGGUGACAUGGGGGUGUCAACGGGGAUGGAGAGGUUGAGGUGACAAGGGGGUGUCAACGGGGAUGGAGAGGUUGAAAUGACAAGAACAGGCCAACAUGGGAUGGAGAUGUUGAGGUGACAAAGAGAUGUCAAGGUGGUUGAGGUGAGAAGGAAGUGUCAACAGGGAUGGAGAGGUUGAGGUGACAAGGAGGUGUCAAUGGGGAUGGAGACGUUGAGCGUACAAGAACAGGGCAACAUGGGAUGGAGAUGUCAAGGUGACAAGAUGUCAACAUGGAUUAGAGACACUGAGGUGACAAAGAGUUGUCAAGGUGGUUGAGGUGACAUGGAGGUGUCAACGGGGAUGGAGAGGUUGAGGGUACGAGAACAGGUCAACAUGGGAUGGAGAUGUUGAGGUGACAAGAUGUCAACAGGGAUGGAGAAAAUGAUGUGACAAGGAGAUGUCAAAAGGGAUGGAGACAUUGAGGUGACAAGAACAGGUCAACAUGGGAUGGAGACGUUCAGGUGACAAGAACAGGUCAACAUGGGAUGGAGACGUUGAGGUGACACGGAGAC
rnacentral:lncRNA from 1 species